GACGAACGCUGGCGGCGUGCUUAACACAUGCAAGUCGAACGGAAAGGCCCUGCUUUUGUGGGGUGCUCGAGUGGCGAACGGGUGAGUAACACGUGAGUAACCUGCCCUUGACUUUGGGAUAACUUCAGGAAACUGGGGCUAAUACCGGAUAGGAGCUCCUGCUGCAUGGUGGGGGUUGGAAAGUUUCGGCGGUUGGGGAUGGACUCGCGGCUUAUCAGCUUGUUGGUGGGGUAGUGGCUUACCAAGGCUUUGACGGGUAGCCGGCCUGAGAGGGUGACCGGCCACAUUGGGACUGAGAUACGGCCCAGACUCCUACGGGAGGCAGCAGUGGGGAAUAUUGCACAAUGGACGGAAGCCUGAUGCAGCAACGCCGCGUGCGGGAUGACGGCCUUCGGGUUGUAAACCGCUUUCGCCUGUGACGAAGCGUGAGUGACGGUAAUGGGUAAAGAAGCACCGGCUAACCACGUG
rnacentral:rRNA from 1 species